CUCUGUUGGCAUUUGCUCUGUACACACCCCCUCUAUGUUGUACAACAUUGGUCUCUCCUUCUCUACGGCGAGGUGCCCCAGAGAAGGGUUUCUUCGAUGAAGACGAGGACCCCACAUCAUGAAUCCUUCCAGCUUUGAUUAAGCUCUCUGUCCUUUCGCCACAGAUGACGACGUCAGAAAAACUUCCAAAUGGGCAACUUCCCAUCCGGUCCAUAUAUACACCUUGCAGAGUGCUGAUAAACAUGUCAGUCAACUCCCUUUCCAGCAUAGGGGGUUG
rnacentral:lncRNA from 1 species